rnacentral:rRNA from 1 species
ACGAACGCUGGCGGCGUGCUUAACACAUGCAAGUCGAGCGGUAAGGCCCUUCGGGGUACACGAGCGGCGAACGGGUGAGUAACACGUGGGUGAUCUGCCCUUCACCCUGGGAUAAGCCUGGGAAACUGGGUCUAAUACUGGAUAUGACCUGCUCUCGCAUGGGGGUGGGUGGAAAGAUUUAUCGGUGCAGGAUGGGCCCGCGGCCUAUCAGCUUGUUGGUGGGGUAAUGGCCUACCAAGGCGACGACGGGUAGCCGACCUGAGAGGGUGAACGGCCACACUGGGACUGAGACACGGCCCAGACUCCUACGGGAGGCAGCAGGGGGGAAUAGUGCACAAUGGGCGGAAGCCUGAUGCAGCGACGCCGCGUGAGGGAUGAAGGCCGUCGGGUUGUAAACCUCGGUCAGCAGGGACGAAGCGUGAGUGACGGUACCUGCAGAAGAAGCACCGGCUAACUACGU